rnacentral:rRNA from 1 species
AUCUCAAAUCAGGUAGGGCUACCCGCGAACUAA